CUCAGCCUGUCUGUCCACAGUGACGGCAAACCUCCAGAGACUACGCUGCAUCUGCUAGAGCCCUGAUAUCCUGCCCCCUGCCCAGACCCAGCUGCGUGGACCCUAGGCUGCCCCUGGCUUCCCUUGAAGAGGAGCCAGGGCCUCUCCCUCAUGGCUGCUCCAGAAGGAACCUGAGAAGAACAGUCCUGUCUGCCCGAAGAGGGAGCCAAGUCCCUCUGCCAUACCUAGAAGUCUGUGUGAGGCAGAGCUACGUGGAUGAGGAAACUGAAACUGAGAAAAGCUAAGGAACUUGCUCAUAUGCUGGAUGAACUGGGAUUCCAGUGCAGGCUGAGUGACCCAGGGCCUGAGCUUCACACAAGGCUUGAAGAGGACCUGUCCUGCAAAGAAUGCCAGGGAGCCACAUGAAGGAAGAAGAGCUUUUCUCACCCAGAAUCGAUACUGUUGUGACUCCCAGGGAGGUGGUCCAAAGGAUUCUUUGGGUUUCAUUUUUCAGGUUUAAAUUUAGUCCAUCUAGAAUUUAUGGUGGUAUCUUGUGUGUGGUGGACAUUGGAGUUAUUUUUUUCUGAAUUGGUCUAAUAUCGUUUAUUGGAAAUUGUGCCUGGCCUGUCACCACUCUCUUCUAAUCUGCCUGAGAUCUGUUAUUUAGAACAUAUGACAGACAUACAAAAGAUGAGUUCACAAUAAGUGGACUAAAGAACACAUGGGCGUCACCAUCAUUGGAGAUUUG
rnacentral:lncRNA from 1 species